AUUGAACGCUGGCGGCAGGCCUAACACAUGCAAGUCGAGCGGCAGCGACUUAACUGAACCUUCGGGGAACGUUAAGGGCGGCGAGCGGCGGACGGGUGAGUAAUGCCUGGGAAUAUGCCCUGAUGUGGGGGAUAACUAUUGGAAACGAUAGCUAAUACCGCAUAAUCUCCGAUCUUUUACGAGAUGGGAGCAAAGAGGGGGACCUUCGGGCCUCUCGCGUCAGGAUUAGCCCAGGUGGGAUUAGCUUGUUGGUGAGGUAAUGGCUCACCAAGGCAACGAUCCCUAGCUGGUCUGAGAGGAUGAUCAGCCACACUGGAACUGAGACACGGUCCAGACUCCUACGGGAGGCAGCAGUGGGGAAUAUUGCACAAUGGGGGAAACCCUGAUGCAGCCAUGCCGCGUGUGUGAAGAAGGCCUUCGGGUUGUAAAGCACUUUCAGUAGGGAGGAAGGUAGUGUAGUUAACACCUGCGUUAUUUGACGUUACCUACAGAAGAAGCACCGGCUAACUCCGUGCCAGCAGCCGCGGUAAUACGGAGGGUGCGAGCGUUAAUCGGAAUUACUGGGCGUAAAGCGCAUGCAGGCGGCCUGUUAAGUCAGAUGUGAAAGCCCGGGGCUUAACCUCGGAAUUGCAUUUGAAACUGGCAGGCUAGAGUCUUGUAGAGGGGGGUAGAAUUUCAGGUGUAGCGGUGAAAUGCGUAGAGAUCUGAAGGAAUACCAGUGGCGAAGGCGGCCCCCUGGACAAAGACUGACGCUCAGAUGCGAAAGCGUGGGGAGCAAACAGG
rnacentral:rRNA from 1 species